rnacentral:rRNA from 1 species
AGCGAACGCUGGCGGCAGGCCUAACACAUGCAAGUCGAACGGAUCCUUCGGGAUUAGUGGCGGACGGGUGAGUAACACGUGGGAACGUGCCCUUUGGUUCGGAACAACUCAGGGAAACUUGAGCUAAUACCGGAUGUGCCCUUCGGGGGAAAGAUUUAUCGCCAUUGGAGCGGCCCGCGUCUGAUUAGCUCGUUGGUGAGGUAACGGCCCACCAAGGCGACGAUCAGUAGCUGGUCUGAGAGGAUGAUCAGCCACACUGGGACUGAGACACGGCCCAGACUCCUACGGGAGGCAGCAGUGGGGAAUCUUGCGCAAUGGGCGAAAGCCUGACGCAGCCAUGCCGCGUGAAUGAUGAAGGUCUUAGGAUUGUAAAAUUCUUUCAGCGGGGACGAUAAUGACGGUACCCGCAGAAGAAGCUCCGGCUAACUUCGUG